CCAAUAGCGUAUAUUAAAGUUGUUGCAGUUAAAAAGCUCGUAGUUGAAUUUCGGGAUCAAAUUGUUGGUCGUGCCUCGGUACGCACUGGUAUUAUUGGUUCCUACCUUCUGAAGAACCGCGAUGUCAUUAAUUUGGUGUCGUGGGGAAUCAGGACUGUUACUUUGAAAAAAUUAGAGUGUUUAAAGCAGGCUUACGCUUGAAUACAUUAGCAUGGAAUAAUGAAAUAGGACGUUUGAUUCUAUUUUGUUGGUUUCUAGGAUUGACGUAAUGAUUAAUAGGGAUAGUUGGGGGCAUUAGUAUUCAAUUGUCAGAGGUGAAAUUCUUGGAUUUAUUGAAGACUAACUACUGCGAAAGCAUUUGCCAAGGAUGUUUUCAUUAAUCAAGAACGAAAGUUAGGGGAUCGAAGACGAUCAGAUACCGUCGUAGUCUUAACCAUAAACUAUGCCGACUAGGGAUCGGAUGAUGUUAAUUUUUUAAUGACUCAUUCGGCGCCUUACG
rnacentral:sRNA from 1 species